rnacentral:rRNA from 1 species
AUUGAACGCUGGCAGCAGGCCUAACACUUGCAAGUCGAGCGGCAGCGGGAACGUAGCUUGCUAUCUUUGCCGGCCAGCGGCGGUCGGGUGAGUAAUGCCUAGCGAUCUGCCCAGUCGAGGCUGAUAACAGUUGGAAACGACUGCUAAUACCGCAUUCGCCCUACGGGGGACAGGAGGGGACCUUCGGGCCUUCCCCGAUUGGAUGAACCUAGGUGGGAUUAGCUAGUUGGUGAGGUAAUGGCUCACCAAGGCGACGAUCCCUAGCUGUUCUGAGAGGAUGAUCAGCGACACUGGGACAGAGACACGGCCCAGACUCCUACGGGAGGCAGCAGUGGGGAAUAUUGCACAAUGGGCGAAAGCCUGAUGCAGCCAUGCCGCGUGUGUGAAGAAGGCCUACCGGUUGUAAAGCACUUUCAGUAGGGAGGACAGGUAGUAACUUAAUACCUUAUUGCUGUGACGUUACCUACAGGAGAAGGACCGGCUAACUCCGUGCCAGCAGCCGCGGUAAUACGGAGGGUCCGAGCGUUAAUCGGAAUUACUGGGCGUAAAGCGUGCGCAGGCGGUAAUUUAAGCCAGUUGUGAAAGCCCCGGGCUCAACCUGGGAAUUGCAAUUGGAACUGGGUAACUAGAGUCUUGUACAGGGAGGUAGGAUUUCAGGUGUAGCGGUGAAAUGCGUAGUUAUCUGAAGGAAUACCGCUGGCGAAAGCGGGCUCCUGGACAAAGACUGACGCUCAUGCACGUAAGCGUGGGGAGCCAACAGGAUUAGAUACCCUGGUAGUCCACGCCGUAAACGAUGUCUACUCGGAGUUUGGUGCCUUGAGCACUGGGCUCUCAAGCUAACGCAUUAAGUACACCGCCUGGGCAGUACGGCCGCAAGGUUAAAACUCCAAUGAAUUGACGGGGGCCCGCACAAGCGGUGGAGCAUGUGGUUUAAUUCGAUGCAACGCGAAGAACCUUACCUACUCUUGACAUCCAGAGAAGAGACCAGAGAUGGACUUGUGCCUUCGGGAACUCUGAGACAGGAGCUGCAUGGCUUUCGUCAGCUCGUGUUGUGAUAUGUUGGGUUUAGUCCCGCAACGAGCGCAACCCCUAUCCUUAUUUGCCAGCACGUAAUGGUGGGAACUUUAGGGAGACUGCCGGUGAUAAACCGGAGGAAGGUGGGGCCGACGUCAAGUCAUCAUGGCCCUUACGAGUAGGGCUACACACGUGCUACAAUGGCGUAUACAGAGGGUUCCAAAGCCGCGAGGUGGAGCUAAUCUCACAAAGUACGUCGUAGUCCGGAUUGGAGUCUGCAACUCGACUCGAUGAAGUCGGAAUCGCUAGUAAUCGUGAAUCAGAAUGUCACGGUGAAUACGUUCCCGGGCCUUGUACACUCCGCCCGUCACACCAUGGGAGUGCGCUGCAAAGGAAGUGGGUAGUUUUACCUUCCGGAGAACGCUCACCAAUUUGUGGUUCAUGACUGGGGUG